CGCCCAGGAGGGCGGCGGAUCGGAUGCCGCUCUGGUCGGCAUCGGCAUCGCCCUCGCGCUGAUCGUCUCGGCACUGGCCGUCC
rnacentral:tRNA from 1 species